rnacentral:lncRNA from 1 species
AUCAGUUCUUUGCCUCUCAGCACCCUGCUUUUCCCCCGAGAAAAAGAAAUUAAAGUUAUUUCUUAUGGGCUAGACAGUAUAUUGCCAGGUACUCACAAGUAAAAUCUCUGAUGAAAGUUCUUGGAAUGUUUUUUUCAAAACGGAGUUGAGGUUAUUUUGUUUUUCCUUCCAGGUAUUGAAGACAGGAUUUAUCUUCUCUACUUCUUCUUUUAGAAGCAGAUCAAGAAACUGGCGAUUGAAGAGUAACUGAAAGAAACGCAAUCUGAUCUUACUAGCAGUGAAAGAGCGAGUCUCCCUCUGAUGCCGAGCAGAAGCUAGACUGUACUGCUGCCAUCUCAGCUCACUGCAACCUCCCUGCCUGAUUCUCCUGCCUCAGCCUGCUGAGUGCCUGCAAUUGCAGGCGCGCCGCCACGCCUGACUGGUUUUCGUAUUUUUUUGGUGGAGACGGGGAUUCGCUGUGUUGGCCGGGCUGGUCUCCAGCUCCUAACCGCGAGUGAUCCACCAGCCUCGGCCUCCUGAGGUGCCGGGAUUGCAGACGGAGUCUGGUUCACUCAGUGCUCAAUGGCGCCCAGACUGGAGUGCAGUGGCGUGAUCUCAGCUCGCUACAACCUCCACCUCCCAGCCGCCUCCCUUGGCCUCCCAAAGUGCAGAGAUUGCAGCCUCUGCCCGGCCGCCACCCCGCCUGGGAAGUGAGGAGCGUCUCUGCCUGGCCGCCCAUUGUCUGGGAUGUGAG